rnacentral:misc_RNA from 1 species
GAUGAAGAACGUAGCGAAAUGCGAUAAGUAAUGUGAAUUGCAGAAUUCAGUGAAUCAUCGAAUCUUUGAACGCAUCUUGCGCUCCUUGGUAUUCUGAGGAGCAUGCCUGUUUGAGUGUCAUCAAAUUCUCAACUACACUGACUUUGAAUUGGUGUGGCUUGGAUUUGGGGGGAAAAUUGUUGUGGGCUUUUUGUAUAGUCUGCUCCCCUGAAAUUGAUUAGCGGUACCUUUGUGGAACUGUCUACAGGUGUGAUAAUUAUCUACAUCUUAGACAUCUGCUGGAAUGCUGCUUUCUAAACCUUACUUGUAUUGACAAUCUUGACCUCAAAUCAGGUAGGACUACCCGCUGAACUUAAGCAUAUCAAUAAGCGGAGGA